AAAACCCUCGUUGCUCAAAACCUAGCCGUGACGCCUUCUCCUCCUCCUUUCUCUUCUUCUCCCUUUCUCCCUCACUACCCGCGUCCCUUUCCCUUCCCACGCCACAGCAGCUGCCGGCACCUUCACCACCACCAGCUUCCGCCCACGUGACCACCACCAGCUGCCGCCUACGUGACUACCGGCAAGUAGCCGCCAACAGCAACCAGUAACAGGGGCUGCGAUUUUUCCCCCAAACAGCAGCUGUCCAGCAGCCACAACCGCCAGCUUGCUCCUCCCCUUCUGCCGUGAACGCUGCCGCCACCAACAGCCACGGUCUAGCCGCGUGGUAUCCUCCACAACCACCUAGUCUUCACUCCUUUUCUAAUUGCCCCAUUGUGUCCACUUCAUAAGAGGAAAGUAGAACCUUAGUCGGGUGAUUUUUGUAACUUGUGGUCGCGCAAUGGCGCUUGCAGCAGGAGGAUCAUAGUUUGACAUGACAGGUAUAGGAGCUUCUUUUGCUUUGUAUUGGGGGAAAGAGCAAAGUACGGUCGUAACAAUUGUGUACAAAUUGCCUAAUGCUUGUAGCUUCUAUAUUACUUGUAAAGUUUUCUUUUGGGAUUGUAUAAUUUCUUUCGUAUGGAGCCAUGUGACUCCUUGUAUGAUCCAUGGUUCCGCUGCGUAGGUUUUGAAUGUAUUGUAGCGAGAAUACUCCUUUAGUAUCCAUCAAACCGACGCGUUAACACUGGAACCACGAUCCUCGUUAAAGUUGAUGAUUUGAGAAGCCGACGAUGAAUCAUUACGUCGUGACAUAUUUUUUGAAAGACAUUAAAAGCCUUAGAUUAGUUUAGUUAUGUUAAUCAUUUAUAUAUCCUUGUCACACCCUCAGUUUUAAUCGAGAUGCUGCCGAAAUUUCCACUUACUCACCUUUUCAAUUAAUCUUUAGUGUUUAUUUUAGUUACCUUCCCUUUUCUGUUUAUGUAACACCCAAAUUUCCUCCCUUCCUUCACGAUUUCUGGUUUCGUUUAAGGAGUUGGAAAUUCAGGGAUGUUACAGUAACUAAGCAAUUACAUACAAUUUGAUCACUCAAAGGAUGGUGUAAACAAAACAGGAAACACAAUGUAGAGAGCAAAAACGUUAAACAAAGAAAACUUAUCGAACUAAAACUAUCAUUGGCAAUACGAUGAUGGAGAGAGCUUGCAAGGACAACUAGUAACAAAGACCUAUACGUCCAACUCUUCUUGACUCUUCAUCUAAUUAACUUUAACUUAUGACUUUCAUAAGCUCACUAAGCCACUUUCAUAGAUAAAAGCUACU